rnacentral:rRNA from 1 species
GACGAACGCUGGCGGCGUGCCUAAUACAUGCAAGUAGAACGCUGAAGCUUGGUGCUUGCACCGAGCGGAUGAGUUGCGAACGGGUGAGUAACGCGUAGGUAACCUGCCUGGUAGCGGGGGAUAACUAUUGGAAACGAUAGCUAAUACCGCAUAAGAGUAGAUGUUGCAUGACAUUUGCUUAAAAGGUGCAAUUGCAUCACUACCAGAUGGACCUGCGUUGUAUUAGCUAGUUGGUGAGGUAACGGCUCACCAAGGCAACGAUACAUAGCCGACCUGAGAGGAUGAUCGGCCAAAAUGGAAAUGAGACACGGCCCAGACUCCUAAGGGAGGCAGCAGUAGGGAAUAUUGGGCAAUGGGAGGAAGUCUGACCGAGCAAGGCCGCGUGGGUGAAGAAGGUUUUCGGGUUGUAAAGCCCUGUUGUAGGGAAAGAAAAGGGGGGGGGGUGGAAAGUGCCGUCGUGAAGGGACUUUAACAAGAAGGGGAGGAUAAACUAGUG